UCAUAUAAGUAAUAAUGUAUAUCCAGUCAUAAAUGAUAACGUACCACUCUGAAAGGGGGGUUAUCAUGCCUAGUGAGUAUUUCUACUGUUGAUAAAAUAAGUAGGCCUACAUUUUGAUGACUGUUUAUAAUAAUACUGUUACUUAGGCCAAAGUACAUUUUAGAAUGCAGGACCUUUAAUUGAGUAUUUUGACAUUACAGUGAUAUAUUGUUACUUUUACUUAGGUAAAGAAUCUGAAUAGUCUACUUCCACUGACCACUGCAGUUUUACGUACUGCCUGAGUGUUUCAGGUCCGGAUGGUCAGAUGUCCCAUCAGCCCAGUGUCGUUAGGAUCUACAGCAAGUUUAAAAAUGAUUGGAUAACCAGGGAUAAGCUUAAGCGUGGUGGUUGGGAUGGCAAAGCUCAUUGCUUAGCCCUGUGUAGAUAUCAUGUGUCUAAUUAUCUUCAGCGUGUGGGAUGGGAGGUUCCCUCCCUCACUGACACACAGCCAGCUGUCAUAUUUUGAUAAGGUGUCUGAUGAUUUGUGUGUUCUGUUUGAUUGCAGACUUACUGCUUACUUGAGCUCUUCUGUGGUAUGACAUGUUCAUCCUGACUGACCAGCUGUUCUCCAUAUUGGCUUUUUUAUGUUCCUUGCAAACAGGCUCGGCCAUGCUUCAAAAGGAAUGAUUUAUGCUCUUAAAUUAAUGAAUGAAAAGCCAUAUCUUUCCUGUUUUCAGAUCCAGUCUGUUUAGAGCUGUAAGUAGACUGUGAUGUGUCUUUCAGCCUGACACAAUCUAGUUUUAACUACAAAAACGAUAACUAUUAAGAUGAUUUUGUUUUUCUGUAACCAAACAUCUAGGCCCACUUGUUUACAAAGAUGGUUAGUGUAAAACAUAUUAUAACUUAAACACUAUUUUGUGCCUUUAUUUGUCCAGGCAAUUGAAAUGUAGAUUUGCUUUGUUUCACACACCCUGCUACACAUUUAAACAGAAGCAGCCUAUUACAACUACAGAUGUCCUCUGUUGGCUACCGACCAACUUCACUCCAGUGGUUGGGGCUUGAGUGCCUUCCUCCACAGCACAUCAACUGAAUUUAUAGGGAGAAGGUGCAGUUUUUUUUUGUAUGUAUCCAGAGUUCCCUCAGAAGAUAUUUAUACAUUGAUAAGCGUUUCAGAGAUGGCAGAGAUUAUGGGAGGAUAACACUGCACAACAUGGCCGCCCCAAACCAGAUCAAAGCAAAGACAAUCAAAGCCAGAGUGAAAGCUACAGCAACAGCUACUGGUUUCAGUCCAUUUCUUUAUGGUAUGAAAAUCAACAUCAAUGACUUGCUUUAAAAAGAGGGCUUGAGGCAGCUGAAGGACUACUGACAAUAUAACAGAAAUCCCAGAUCCAUCCUGAAGUGGUAAUUGACUGAGCUACAGAUACAAAGCUGCCGAGAGCCUUUUACAUAAAAAACCAGAGGCUUUGAUGUCCCCUGAUGAAUUGUGCUGCAAUAACUGUGUCACAACAGAAGACAUAACAACGACUCACUGCAGGAAAUACAUGUCCAGUACAUCCAGGACAAAUUCUUCUUCCCCCCGUCUGGAAACAAGCCCUGUCAUCCCCAUUUCUCCUUGAUGCCUUCAAGGUCUCAACUAUAUCUCACACGCCCCAGUCCAAAAUCUGAAUUAUGUUUAUUACAAAUCAACCGUGGUUAGGAGAUGCUUCUAAAAUCAAUACUUGAAAGGCUUGGUCAGAGAAAUGAAACUGAAAUAACCAUUGCAUCUGCCCAACAUGAAAGAUUGACAUGCAGCAGUUGGAGUCUGCGGUUUGAAGUACUGCUUCCUCUUUUGCGUGAGGUGAUCACAGACAGCUCUGGGUUUGGGCUUUAGGGGCUUUGUGAGGUUGUUAAAAAUGUUCCUGUUCACUUUUCCAGCUGCAGCAUUUCAACGGUGCAUUAAACUACGGAUACCCCCAGAAAAGUCACCAGGGAAAACAAGAAAUGCUGUUUGAAAAUCAUGGGAGGGUCAAGAACAAUCCUUUGGAUUAUUCACUCUUUUUCUUUUUUUUAUAAUGUCCAAAGAGAAAAACAGAUAUACAGUACUUCUAAGGGCAUUCAUAGUUAGAAAAAAAAAAGGUUAUUUUAAACCCCCACAUCAUCAAGACAGUAGGCGUGCACUUUGACACUUUGAGCUAUGAGGAAAUUGUGACAUGUUUAUUAAUGUACAGUCAGCGAUUGAAAUCUCUUAUAAAGCCAUAUGUAUACUAUUACUACUGUUUCUUACCAUUAUAGUCCUUAAUGAACUCUAGCAUCAAGUGUAGUG